AGGGAGCUUUUCAGCGAUAAGGGGAUUCAAAACAUAGGUGGAAGUGUUCACUUACGCUCUAUAUAUUGAGAGGUAUGUAAGAUUCUAGUAUUUCAGCAAUACACUUUACGAUCGACACAGCUCCCCUCAGAAAUAUCGGAGCGUGAAGAGUCUGUUCUCUCCGCAUUCCCCAUUCAAAGCCUUGGAUUUGUUUACAGAACUUGUUAAAGAAGGCAAAUAUUAUAGGCUAUAAAAAGUACUCUCCUCAUUUUGCAUCACACGUAGUCUGGGCCACCAAUCCCCCAAUACCGGACGUGGUUCCGUGUCCAUUUUCAAAAAGCAAUACUUUUUCAUUAUCGUCGAAUUAUUCAAAGUAUUUAUGUAUAUAGCUAGGUAUAUAGCACUGCUAUGUGUGCUAUUCAAAAAUGAGAUUGAGCCCAUAUACAUGUCCAGAGGACUAAGUUUCAUGUCGGAGUAGGAGGCACCCAGAAGACACUGCAGAUGUAAAAAGAACAACGACAAGGACACGAUCACAGACGGCAUAGGAGGCGCUCACCAUGGAAAUGGCCGUACCGAGGGAUGCGACGACGGCUAGCUAUUGCACGGAAGAGUCAGCAAAAAAGAUGACCCCACGGUAACUCCUCCAAAGAAGCACCUGACCACCACCCAACACCCAGUUUGCCGGAGCCAGGCGGCCAGAGACUCAUAAGGACAAAACACGAGUCACGAUCAGCCAGACGGAGC